ACCUCGAUGUCGGCUCAUCACAUCCUGGGGCUGAAGUAGGUCCCAAGGGUAUGGCUGUUCGCCAUUUAAAGUGGUACGCGAGCUGGGUUUAGAACGUCGUGAGACAGUU
rnacentral:rRNA from 1 species